GACGAACGCUGGCGGCGUGCUUAACACAUGCAAGUCGAGCGGAAAGGCCCUGCUUUUGUGGGGUGUUCGAGUGGGGAAGGGGUGGGUACAAGGGGGGAAACUUGCCCUGGACUUGGGGAUAACUUAGGGAAAUGGGGGCAAAUACGGGAUAGGGGCUCCUGCGGAAGGGUGGGGGUGGGAAGGUUUCGGCGGUUGGGGAUGGACUCGCGGCUUAUCAGCUUGUGGGUGGGGUAGUGGCUUACAAAGGCUUUGACGGGUAGCCGGCCUGAGAGGGUGACCGGCCACAUUGGGACUGAGAUACGGCCCAGACUCCUACGGGAGGCAGCAGUGGGGAAUAUUGCACAAUGGGCGGAAGCCUGAUGCAGCAACGCCGCGUGCGGGAUGACGGCCUUCGGGUUGUAAACCGCUUUCGCCUGUGACGAAGCGUGAGUGACGGUAAUGGGUAAAGAAGCACCGGCUAACUACG
rnacentral:rRNA from 1 species